GGUUAAGCGACUAAGCGUACACGGUGGAUGCCCUGGCAGUCAGAGGCGAUGAAGGACGUGCUAAUCUGCGAUAAGCGUCGGUAAGGUGAUAUGAACCGUUAUAACCGGCGAUUUCCGAAUGGGGAAACCCAGUGUGUUUCGACACACUAUCAUUAACUGAAUCCAUAGGUUAAUGAGGCGAACCGGGGGAACUGAAACAUCUAAGUACCCCGAGGAAAAGAAAUCAACCGAGAUUCCCCCAGUAGCGGCGAGCGAACGGGGAGGAGCCCAGAGCCUGAAUCAGUGUGUGUGUUAGUGGAAGCGUCUGGAAAGGCGCGCGAUACAGGGUGACAGCCCCGUACACAAAAAUGCACAUGCUGUGAGCUCGAUGAGUAGGGCGGGACACGUGGUAUCCUGUCUGAAUAUGGGGGGACCAUCCUCCAAGGCUAAAUACUCCUGACUGACCGAUAGUGAACCAGUACCGUGAGGGAAAGGCGAAAAGAACCCCGGCGAGGGGAGUGAAAAAGAACCUGAAACCGUGUACGUACAAGCAGUGGGAGCACGCUUAGGCGUGUGACUGCGUACCUUUUGUAUAAUGGGUCAGCGACUUAUAUUCUGUAGCAAGGUUAACCGAAUAGGGGAGCCGAAGGGAAACCGAGUCUUAACUGGGCGUUAAGUUGCAGGGUAUAGACCCGAAACCCGGUGAUCUAGCCAUGGGCAGGUUGAAGGUUGGGUAACACUAACUGGAGGACCGAACCGACUAAUGUUGAAAAAUUAGCGGAUGACUUGUGGCUGGGGGUGAAAGGCCAAUCAAACCGGGAGAUAGCUGGUUCUCCCCGAAAGCUAUUUAGGUAGCGCCUCGUGAAUUCAUCUCCGGGGGUAGAGCACUGUUUCGGCAAGGGGGUCAUCCCGACUUACCAACCCGAUGCAAACUGCGAAUACCGGAGAAUGUUAUCACGGGAGACACACGGCGGGUGCUAACGUCCGUCGUGAAGAGGGAAACAACCCAGACCGCCAGCUAAGGUCCCAAAGUCAUGGUUAAGUGGGAAACGAUGUGGGAAGGCCCAGACAGCCAGGAUGUUGGCUUAGAAGCAGCCAUCAUUUAAAGAAAGCGUAAUAGCUCACUGGUCGAGUCGGCCUGCGCGGAAGAUGUAACGGGGCUAAACCAUGCACCGAAGCUGCGGCAGCGACGCUUAUGCGUUGUUGGGUAGGGGAGCGUUCUGUAAGCCUGUGAAGGUGUGCUGUGAGGCAUGCUGGAGGUAUCAGAAGUGCGAAUGCUGACAUAAGUAACGAUAAAGCGGGUGAAAAGCCCGCUCGCCGGAAGACCAAGGGUUCCUGUCCAACGUUAAUCGGGGCAGGGUGAGUCGACCCCUAAGGCGAGGCCGAAAGGCGUAGUCGAUGGGAAACAGGUUAAUAUUCCUGUACUUGGUGUUACUGCGAAGGGGGGACGGAGAAGGCUAUGUUGGCCGGGCGACGGUUGUCCCGGUUUAAGCGUGUAGGCUGGUUUUCCAGGCAAAUCCGGAAAAUCAAGGCUGAGGCGUGAUGACGAGGCACUACGGUGCUGAAGCAACAAAUGCCCUGCUUCCAGGAAAAGCCUCUAAGCAUCAGGUAACAUCAAAUCGUACCCCAAACCGACACAGGUGGUCAGGUAGAGAAUACCAAGGCGCUUGAGAGAACUCGGGUGAAGGAACUAGGCAAAAUGGUGCCGUAACUUCGGGAGAAGGCACGCUGAUAUGUAGGUGAAGUCCCUCGCGGAUGGAGCUGAAAUCAGUCGAAGAUACCAGCUGGCUGCAACUGUUUAUUAAAAACACAGCACUGUGCAAACACGAAAGUGGACGUAUACGGUGUGACGCCUGCCCGGUGCCGGAAGGUUAAUUGAUGGGGUUAGCGCAAGCGAAGCUCUUGAUCGAAGCCCCGGUAAACGGCGGCCGUAACUAUAACGGUCCUAAGGUAGCGAAAUUCCUUGUCGGGUAAGUUCCGACCUGCACGAAUGGCGUAAUGAUGGCCAGGCUGUCUCCACCCGAGACUCAGUGAAAUUGAACUCGCUGUGAAGAUGCAGUGUACCCGCGGCAAGACGGAAAGACCCCGUGAACCUUUACUAUAGCUUGACACUGAACAUUGAGCCUUGAUGUGUAGGAUAGGUGGGAGGCUUUGAAGUGUGGACGCCAGUCUGCAUGGAGCCGACCUUGAAAUACCACCCUUUAAUGUUUGAUGUUCUAACGUUGACCCGUAAUCCGGGUUGCGGACAGUGUCUGGUGGGUAGUUUGACUGGGGCGGUCUCCUCCUAAAGAGUAACGGAGGAGCACGAAGGUUGGCUAAUCCUGGUCGGACAUCAGGAGGUUAGUGCAAUGGCAUAAGCCAGCUUGACUGCGAGCGUGACGGCGCGAGCAGGUGCGAAAGCAGGUCAUAGUGAUCCGGUGGUUCUGAAUGGAAGGGCCAUCGCUCAACGGAUAAAAGGUACUCCGGGGAUAACAGGCUGAUACCGCCCAAGAGUUCAUAUCGACGGCGGUGUUUGGCACCUCGAUGUCGGCUCAUCACAUCCUGGGGCUGAAGUAGGUCCCAAGGGUAUGGCUGUUCGCCAUUUAAAGUGGUACGCGAGCUGGGUUUAGAACGUCGUGAGACAGUUCGGUCCCUAUCUGCCGUGGGCGCUGGAGAACUGAGGGGGGCUGCUCCUAGUACGAGAGGACCGGAGUGGACGCAUCACUGGUGUUCGGGUUGUCAUGCCAAUGGCACUGCCCGGUAGCUAAAUGCGGAAGAGAUAAGUGCUGAAAGCAUCUAAGCACGAAACUUGCCCCGAGAUGAGUUCUCCCUGACCCUUUAAGGGUCCUGAAGGAACGUUGAAGACGACGACGUUGAUAGGCCGGGUGUGUAAGCGCAGCGAUGCGUUGAGCUAACCGGUACUAAUGAACCGUGAGGCUUAACCUU
rnacentral:rRNA from 1 species